AGCGUUCUGUAAGCCUGUGAAGGUGUGUCGUGAGGCAUGCUGGAGGUAUCAGAAGUGCGAAUGCUGACAUAAGUAACGAUAAAGCGGGUGAAAAGCCCGCUCGCCGGAAGACCAAGGGUUCCUGUCCAACGUUAAUCGGGGCAGGGUGAGUCGACCCCUAAGGCGAGGCCGAAAGGCGUAGUCGAUGGGAAACGGGUUAAUAUUCCCGUACUUGGUGUUACUGCGAAGGGGGGACGGAGAAGGCUAUGUUGGCCGGGCGACGGUUGUCCCGGUUUAAGCGUGUAGGUGUGUGUUCCAGGUAAAUCCGGUUCACUUUAACACUGAGGCGUGAUGACGAGGCACUACGGUGCUGAAGCAACAAAUGCCCUGCUUCCAGGAAAAGCCUCUAAGCAUCAGGUAACAUCAAAUCGUACCCCAAACCGACACAGGUGGUCAGGUAGAGAAUACCAAGGCGCUUGAGAGAACUCGGGUGAAGGAACUAGGCAAAAUGGUGCCGUAACUUCGGGAGAAGGCACGCUGACAC
rnacentral:rRNA from 1 species